UACGAAGGGGGCAAGCGUUGUUCGGAAUUACUGGGCGUAAAGGGAGUGUAGGCGGUUUGGUAAGAUAGCGGUGAAAUCCCAGGGCUUAACCUUGGAAUUGCCAUUAUAACUAUCAGACUUGAAUGAUAGAGAGGAUAUCGGAAUACCCAGUGUAGAGGUGAAAUUCGUAGAUAUUGGGUAGAACACCGGUGGCGAAGGCGGGUAUCUGGCUAUUAAUUGACGCUGAGGCUCGAAAGCAUGGGGAUCAAAC
rnacentral:rRNA from 1 species